GGCGACGGGGGCGGUUCGCCGCCCCCGACGUCGCGAGAAGUCCAUUGAACCUUAUCAUUUAGAGGAAGGAGAAGUCGUAACAAGGUUUCCGUAGGUGAACCUGCGGAAGGAUCAUUG
rnacentral:rRNA from 1 species